GAGUACUAAAAACUCACAGUCAGCCUCCACCACGUGAUCCCGCGUGCCCUACAGUGCUUGAAAAAUCACAAAAGCGCCCAGUCUUCUCAACCGCUCCGUUUGAAAAUCGCAAAACCUAAGAUUGAUAUGGCAUGCCUUGUAUUUGAAGGUUGAAUGACGGAAACAAGGGUAUAUCAAAGGCUUACGGAUCACGCUAAGUUCUUGUCUCGUGCAUAGACUCUUCCCACCUCCCUUUUUGUCAUUGCUGCGUUUGAUAUAUGUGUUGUUUUGGACUUGAGGUGAUAUACUCUGACAAUGGCAAGCAAAGAUGAUGAGUUAAAAAAGAAACAGAUAGUGGAAGCAAGGGCUAGAAACAUUAGUCGCAAUGUAUGGUGCACCGAUUGUGGAAGUCAAUCCAUCGAAGAUUCACAAGCAGAUAUUGCAAUUCUCCUCAGGAAAGUAAUGCUUUUGCUUUGAAAUGAAUAUGGAUACUAGCAGGUUUUUUCAUUUACAUCGUAUCUGUCUAGUCAAUAAAGUUAUACCAACUAAUGAUUUCAUCUAACUGAUUGAAUUUAAAAAGGAAUUAAUCUUGAUUUUGUGGUCAUACUUUUUACUUUUGCUAUAUCAAAGACGAGUCAUCACAUUCUGUCAUCUUUUGCUUCACCAUUUUAGUUAUGCUCUUUUAAUUCUCGUCAAUAACUUUGAUUUACACCAGUGCAUUAAUUACAUUUACAACAAUUCUGCCGUUAAUUCGCGAUGAGAUCCAAGUUGGGAAAACUGAUAAAGAGGUCUAUAAAAAGCUUGAGGAUGAUUAUGGGGAGACAGUGCUUUAUACCCCAAAGUUUGAUCUACAGACAGCCGCCUUGUGGCUAUCACCUGUCAGUUAAGAGUUAAAAGAACCAUCUAAAAAUUAUGAACUUUCUCUCUGAAAUUUUACUUCUUUAUAAGUAUUGGGUUGCGACAGCUUUUAGUUGCAGGUGCUGCUGCAGGAAUUUGGGCUUACAACAAGCACAAGCAAAAGACUAACAUGCGCAUUAUGGCUUUGAAUCUUGUUAGAGGUGUUCCAUUGACCGCAAAAGAAAAGGAAACCAUGCUAGACCUCCUUACACCUCCUCCUCCAGAAGGAGCUUCUUCUUCCUCCUGGUGGAGUAGGUUGCGUCGGCAUGAUGUGUAAUUCUGCCACUUGUCUUACCUCUUGACUCAUAUAUUAUGAUUUGACAUUUACCAAUGAAGAAUUUGAUAGGCAUCAAAUUUCAAGUAUUUCUCCCUUAUAAUAAGCUUAUUGCAUGUCAAAUUCUACAUAAUCUGAUUUCAACUUCCCUUGUCAUCAAGCUGAAUCUUUGAUUAUUUUAUUUUAUAUUGUGGUUGGUUAAAUCGAGUACAGGGCUUCUUUGCAUGUUCACAGUUUUUGGACUGUUUAUUGCCAAGACCAACCAAGGAUGUAUUCCUUUGAGAAUCAUUUGAUUCUUUGAAUCAGUAUUUUUUUUUUUUAAACCCUCAUUUAGUUCUAAACUAACUGUGAGAUUGAUUUUCCCACAUAAUGUUCACUUAGAUAAGACCAGAGCCUUGCCUAAAAUGAUAUGUCUGAGUGGACAAUAGAACUACUGUAUAUCUCUUUGGUGAAGAACUAAUAGAGCAGAAAUACAUUUAAAUGAAUGCUUCAAGUACUUGUUAGAGUUGUAUACAAUAUGUCUCAAUAUUAUUUUACUUAAUACUUCACUAAAUGAGUAAUUGGAUCCCUUCAUUAAGUCGCCUUUUCCGAAAUUUCCCAUGAAAAUUCACAUCCACUAACGAAUUUAAAAUUUUAGGGUAAGAAUUGAGAGUAUUUACUUUAAUCAAGGGAAAUUGCUCCUUAGACAAAUGAUUUGUCAUCUAACGGCCUUGCUUAAUUCCCAAAUAACCUUUCAUUUAUAUCGGGCUAUCAGAUCAGAUCCGCCUCGCCUCGCAACCAAAGUCACUAGUCAUCUUCCAAUUCAAUUGCACGAUUUUUCUCAUCCCUAAUUCUAUUUGGUUAUCGGAAGCUGGGGGAGAUUUUCUAUUUCUAAAACUAGCAAGAAAACUGAAGCGACAAUCAACAGAGAAACAUGACCGACAAGAGCGCUCUCGAGACGACAAUCAAAUGGAUACAAGCACUAUCCAAAGGCGUGAUGGGUCGGAAAGUGGAGAGCUCAACUCUUGAAGCCAUUGAGUUGGUAGAAGCUCGUAACGGCUUUGUUCGUUGAUAAAGAUGGUCAUUGGCAUACCGGAGCAACGGCAACGUUAAUCGAAAGUCUGGAGGCUGCUGCUGCCUACUCUUUUUCUGGCAACGUCAAGGCCUCUCUUGAUUUCAACCUUUCAUUUUAUUCCACGGUUAACAUAUUGGAAGAAGUUGAUAUUUAGGCAAAGGUUGUGGGGAACAGGGGAAAGCUUACAGCGGCAGAGGUGGAGGUCAAAAGAAAAGACAGUGGACAACUGAUUGCUUUGGGCAAACCAUGGACAACUUCAACUUCAAGUCAAGGGAGUAAGCUUUGACAUAGAAACACCUAUCUUACCAGUAACUCUAUAUAAUUUAUAUGUUUCUUAGUUGUUCUGAGGAAACUUAGUAAUUGUCCACGACAUAUCAAGGUUUUGACUUCGCAAGAGCUUAGAGGCUUGGUUGGCGUUAAUAAAAUUUGGCAUAUAUCGAUAUCUUGAUUGUUUUAGUUUGUCAUUAAGUUUAGAGAGCUUAAAAUAGGGAACUUGAUCUAUGCUCUUCUUUGUUUCUAGUUGAAAUCUAAGUUCCUUUUGCUUA